AAGUCGUGACAAGGUUUCCGUAGGUGAACCUGCGGAAGGAUCAUUACAUUUAGUAGCCUAGCCGCUAUCAGUGGGGGUUCGUUAGCCUGCAUAGCUUAAUCGCUGAUGAGAGCAGACCCCCCUGUUUGUACCCCUUGUUUUUUUGCGUACCAAAAGUUUCCUCGGCGGGGCUUGCUCGCCGGAUGGACAAUACUAUAACCUUUUUAAUACUCAAUCAGCGUCUGAAAAAACUUGAAUAAUUACAA
rnacentral:misc_RNA from 1 species